rnacentral:rRNA from 1 species
UACGGAGGGAGCUAGCGUUGUUCGGAAUUACUGGGCGUAAAGCGCGCGUAGGCGGCUUUGUAAGUUAGAGGUGAAAGCCCGGAGCUCAACUCCGGAAUUGCCUUUAAGACUGCAUCGCUAGAAUCAUGGAGAGGUGAGUGGAAUUCCGAGUGUAGAGGUGAAAUUCGUAGAUAUUGGGAAGAACACCGGUGGCGAAGGCGGCUCUCUGGACCGAGACUGAUGCUGAGGCGCGAAAGCGUGGGGAGCAAACAGG